rnacentral:rRNA from 1 species
UGGGGAAUAUUGCACAAUGGGCGCAAGCCUGAUGCAGCCAUGCCGCGUGUGUGAAGAAGGCCUUCGGGUUGUAAAGCACUUUCAGCGGGGAGGAAGGCGUUAAGGUUAAUAACCUUGGCGAUUGACGUUACCCGCAGAAGAAGCACCGGCUAACUCCGUGCCAGCAGCCGCGGUAAUACGGAGGGUGCAAGCGUUAAUCGGAAUUACUGGGCGUAAAGCGCACGCAGGCGGUCUGUCAAGUCGGAUGUGAAAUCCCCGGGCUCAACCUGGGAACUGCAUUCGAAACUGGCAGGCUAGAGUCUUGUAGAGGGGGGUAGAAUUCCAGGUGUAGCGGUGAAAUGCGUAGAGAUCUGGAGGAAUACCGGUGGCGAAGGCGGCCCCCAGGACAAAGACUGACGCUCAGGUGCGAAAGCGUGGGGAGCAAACAGG